rnacentral:snoRNA from 1 species
GCUGCUGCUGCUGCUGUUGCUGCUGCAGCAGCUGCUGCUGCUGCAGCAGCUUCAGCAGCUGCGGGUGUAUAGGCUGUGUCUUCUCAAGAAAUGUAUUUAGAGGAGAAGGAGACCUCCACACUUCGUUAUUUAAAUCUACAACCACAGCCAAACACC